UAAGUUUUCUUUUGUUGUUCAAUAUCAAUUUUUCAUGCACACAAGGUGUUUGACAAAAUGAUUCUAAAUUGCUUUAUUCUGGUUACCAUGCAGUCUUGGAGUAUUUUUAUUCAUUACUUUUGGUUAUUUAUCUUACUAAGUCAUGAAUAACUAUUCAAUUAAAGACUUCUAAGGUUGGGUACUUUUGUGUGUUUUGAAGGACCUAUGUUGUGGUUAGAGGACCUAUUUUGUACCAGAGAUUGCAAGCAUGCUGAUAUCACUGUAGGAAAAAUUUAGAAAGUAAAGUUCCAGAUAUUGCAAAAUAUGGAUUUACAUCGGCAUGGUUGCCGCCAUCAACUCAUUCCUUUGCCCCGGAAGGUUACCUCCCUCAGAACAUAUAUUCCAUUGAAUUGGGUUUAUUUAUUUACAGCUUACUCUGUUUUGUGUUUCCAAAUAUUCAAUUAGUUAUGCAACUAAAUAUGUGAAGGAGCAAAACCAAUUUUUUUCGUUGGGGAGUAUUGGGAUUCUUGCAACUACAAUGGUCAUGGUUUGGACUACAACCAAGGUAUAAUAUGGAGAUUACGUGAUCCCCAGGGAAAGCCACCAAGUGUAAUGCAGUAGUACAGCUAGCUAGUUCCUAUAUUUAACUUGUGUCUAGUAGAAAUUCUUCCUUCAUUAAGUAUUUGGAUUUGUCUGCAGAUUCAGAUUAGUAGAUAUGGGCCAUUUUGAACUGAUGCUCAUGAUUAGGUUUGU